GAUGAACGCUGGCGGCGUGCCUAAUACAUGCAAGUCGAGCGAACGGACGAGAAGCUUGCUUCUCUGAUGUUAGCGGCGGACGGGUGAGUAAAACGUGGAUAACCUACCUAUAAGACUGGGAUAACUUCGGGAAACAGGAGCUAAUACCGGAUAAUAUUUUGAACCGCAUGGUUCAAAAGUGAAAGACGGUCUUGCUGUCACUUAUAGAUGGAUCCGCGCUGCAUUAGCUAGUUGGUAAGGUAACGGCUUACCAAGGCAACGAUGCAUAGCCGACCUGAGAGGGUGAUCGGCCACACUGGAACUGAGACACGGUCCAGACUCCUACGGGAGGCAGCAGUAGGGAAUCUUCCGCAAUGGGCGAAAGCCUGACGGAGCAACGCCGCGUGAGUGAUGAAGGUCUUCGGAUCGUAAAACUCUGUUAUUAGGGAAGAACAUAUGUGUAAGUAACUGUGCACAUCUUGACGGUACCUAAUCAGAAAGCCACGGCUAACUACGUG
rnacentral:rRNA from 1 species